UACGAAGGGGGCUAGCGUUGUUCGGAUUUACUGGGCGUAAAGCGCACGUAGGCGGAUCGUUAAGUCGGGGGUGAAAUCCUGGAGCUCAACUCCAGAACUGCCUUCGAUACUGGCGAUCUCGAGUCCGGAAGAGGUGAGUGGAACUCCUAGUGUAGAGGUGGAAUUCGUAGAUAUUAGGAAGAACACCAGUGGCGAAGGCGACUCACUGGUCCGAUACUGACGCUGAGGUGCGAAAGCGUGGGGAGCAAACAGG
rnacentral:rRNA from 1 species